CCUACGGGGGGCAGCAGUGGGGAAUAUUGCACAAUGGGCGCAAGCCUGAUGCAGCGACGCCGCGUGGGGGAUGAAGGCCUUCGGGUUGUAAACCCCUUUCAGCAGGGAAGAAGCGAGAGUGACGGUACCUGCAGAAGAAGCGCCGGCUAACUACGUGCCAGCAGCCGCGGUAAUACGUAGGGCGCAAGCGUUGUCCGGAAUUAUUGGGCGUAAAGAGCUCGUAGGCGGUUUGUCGCGUCUGCUGUGAAAACCCGAGGCUCAACCUCGGGCCUGCAGUGGGUACGGGCAGACUAGAGUGCGGUAGGGGAGACUGGAAUUCCUGGUGUAGCGGUGGAAUGCGCAGAUAUCAGGAGGAACACCGAUGGCGAAGGCAGGUCUCUGGGCCGCAACUGACGCUGAGGAGCGAAAGCAUGGGGAGCGAACAGGAUUAGAUACCCUUG
rnacentral:rRNA from 1 species